CAACAACAACAACAAACCCAGUGUAUUCCCACUUAGUGGGGUCUGGGGGGGGUAAGAUGUACGCAGUCCAUACCUCUACCUCUGAUGAAGUAGAAAGGCUGUUUUCGAAAGACCCCCGGCUCAAGGCACAAGAUAUCACACAAACACAUAGUAAAGCACAGAAGCAGAUGACAUAACAUAAAUACGGCACCCAUAAGGAAUAUAAAAUAGAGGAAAGCAGAGGAAAGCACAC
rnacentral:lncRNA from 1 species